AGUCGCAUGGUCUAGUGGUAUGACGUUUCCUUCACAAUCUGUGAUUUUCGAGCUCCUGAAGCCCGGAAAAGGUCCUGGGUUCGACCCCCAGUGCGACUA